ACUUCCGGCCUCCUUUUAGCUGCCAUCUUGCGUCCCCGCGUGUGUGCGCCUAAUCUCAGCUGGUCCACCCGAGACCCCUUGAGCACCAACCCUAGUCCCCCGCGCGGCCCCUUAUUCGCUCCGACAAGGUACAAAAAGGCUCUGGACGGCGGCGUGGUAGGAGGACGGGAGCGGGGGCGGGAAGUUCCCUGAAGGAGCGAGACAGGGAGGGACAGGGCAGAGGAGGAGAGGAAGGCGAUGCGACGGACAGGCGCACCCGCUCAGGCUGACUCUCGGGGGCGAGGUCGAGCCAGGGGCGGCUGCCCUGGGGGCGAGGCGACGCUGUCUCAACCUCCACCUCGCGGCGGAACCCGAGGACAGGAGCCUCAGAUGAAAGAAACAAUCAUGAACCAGGAAAAACUCGCCAAACUGCAGGCACAAGUGCGCAUUGGUGGGAAAGUAAGUUUUAAUAGUUCGGGUUUGUGGGUUUUUUUUUUUUAAGGUUUAGGUAUUUUAAAAAACAUAUUCCUUUUGCGCUUCUUAUAUUAUCGGUGACAAACUUUGCCUGUCGAGGGAAAUUCACGGAGCUAGCAAAUCCCGAGGAGCAAGGUAGACGAGGGUUGGAGACACAUCAGUGAGACGAGCUAAAAACAUCGCCUUUGUGUAAAUAUGUUUGUUUUCAGUGUUACAGAGUAUAAGUAGAACAAAAGUGUUUCCGAAUUUAAUUAGUAAGGAAAAUGUGUCAUUUCAGUUAGAUCGUUGUGCACAUCAUACCCUUGACUUGUUUUGGCCUGAGUUGUAUAAAGUCAGUGCUUGUUUGUCUCUCUUGUAAAUUGAGACCUUUCUGUACUGCUUUCUGAACUAAAUAUUCUUUAGGGUAGUUGCAUAUUUCAAGGGUAUUUGAAG
rnacentral:sRNA from 1 species